rnacentral:rRNA from 1 species
GGAUGAACGCUAGCGACAGGCUAACACAUGCAAGUCAGGGGCAGCACAAGGAGCAAUCUGAGGUGGCGACCGGCGCACGGGUGAGUAACACGUAUGCAACCUGCCUGUAAGCGGGGAAUAACCCGUUGAAAGACGGACUAAUACCGCAUAAUACUAAAUUACUGCAUGGUAAUUUAUUUAAACAUUUAUGGCUUACAGAUGGGCAUGCGCAUGAUUAGCUAGUUGGAGAGGUAACGGCUCCCCAAGGCAACGAUCAUUAGGGGUUCUGAGAGGAAGGUCCCCCCACACUGGUAUUGAGACACGGACCAGACUCCUACGGGAGGCAGCAGUGAGGAAUAUUGGUCAAUGGACGAGAGUCCGAACCAGCCAAGUCGCGUGCAGGAAGAAUUGUCCUAUGGAUUGUAAACUGCUUUUGCAGGGGAAUAAAGUGCAUCACGUGUGAUGUUUUGUAUGUACUCUGCGAAUAAGGAUCGGCUAACUCCGUGCCAGCAGCCGC